AUUUUUGUAUAGGGCAUUACGCAUAUCAGUGAGGAUUCGUCCGAGAUUGCGUUUUUGCUAGUUGAAAACUAUCAACUGACCGCUCUCGUUGGUCUUCGGAUCGGCGAGGAAUUUUUGACAAUCCAUCAUUCUUUUCAUCAUCGCGUUUCGCCGUUCGCGGGCGUAUGGA
rnacentral:snRNA from 1 species